GGCCACCAUGGAAACAAUGCUGAUCAUAAAAGAAACUCUCAAAUACUGAGAUGGAGCAGCUGAAACUUGUGAGAAUUUGGGAAAAUUAAAAGGAAAUCUUUCAAAGGAGUGCCUAUUAAUCAUAUCCAAUACUAUACAGUAAAUGUGAAAACCACAGAUUAUUUUUCCAAGAAAGAAAAGGCUAAUUUGCUGGAGGCAGUGGAGAAAAUCAUUAGAGAACUGGAAGAAUUACUGGAGUCACUUGAAAAUACCAUUUAAAACUCUGAGCAAUUCUACAGAGACUUUAUGGAUUUUUACUUUAUCCAGUGGUUGGGGAACUGAGAACUGAAAGAUUGCAUGCCUUUCUUGCAUGGACUUCACAGACUCCAUCAGGUUUCAAUGUAUAGAAGAUCCCCUGUUUGCAACUGUGCUUCUUUAGAAGUCACACUUUUAAUGUUUUCCUAAAAAAAAGUAGCAUAAUUGUUUCCAAUGUCAUUGAUAUUUACAAUGUAGUUGAUUUUGCAAAUUGAUGUUGCAACUUACAAUGUACAUAAUUUGAAAUGUUCUGGCCAAAAGAGAAUUUGUGCCUGAAAUAGUUGGUUCCUUGAUUGUUUUCAGUUAAUUGGAACAGAGAAGGUAGCAGGAGGGUUUGUCUUAUGGACAAAAUGCAGACCUCACUCAGCAUGGACUACUGUAUUACUUCACUUUCAGUGUUUAUCUCCAGAUUGUGACUUUUCAUUGAUUCUGCUAUGCUUUACUGACAUUUUUAAUAUUGUUUACUGUAUUCUUGUUGUUUUUCCUGCCAGCUACAAAACUUAGUUGAUUUUGAAGAAGUUUUGAAGGGGGAAUGUUCCAAUGUAUCUAAACUUUCCUUGCACACUGAAUAUAGAUAAAAGUCACAAUUAUAAUUCUGCCCAAUUCUGGCCAUUCCUACUGCAGGAAUGUAGGAACUCAUGCUCUGCAGCAGCCUUCAAUUGAGAUAAUAUGGGGAUGGAAUUGAGAAAAUACGCUGGUAUGUGUGAUCAGUGGCCAUCUGCAAAUCUGCCUUGGGUCUCUUGGGCUCCUGGACAGCCCCUGCCCCCUCCUAAAAAAAGCCUUAAAAAGUAAA